GAGAGUUCUCUGGAUUACCUUGGACAGUCAGUUAGUGAUACCUAAAACAAUGCCGUCCUAUAAUCAAUGGCCUCUCAGAUUUGAUGAAAUCCUACAUUGUCCAUGACAUCUCUGCUUUCACCAAAAAAGGGAUUAUACAGAAGAAGAGGAGGUAAAACUCAGCUAUCAGUGGGCUUUUCACUGAUCGUCAACUUUCAGAGCAAGAGAAGUCUGAGCUUCUGUGGUUUGAAGAUGAUCUGUGUGUUUCAUCUCCUCGUGCCCUCCCUGGCCUUACAAGCUGUCAUAACUUCACAUGGAUUACCUAUUAUUAUCCUAUAGUUCUUAAAAUCACAAAUGAAUUUUUUAUUGAUGUUGGGGGUGUGUGUGUGGUGCUUUCUGUAAAAUAAUUCAUUAGGAAAUUUAUUUUUCAUCCAUUAUUGAAGCCAUCAUUUGAAGAGACUGUUUCUUAGAAUAUAUCUACCAUGUGGAUAUAUAUGCCAGUGGAAACUAGUUAAAAUAUUUUUAUUAAAGCAAAAUAAAGGUUUUUUUGUGGUUGUUUUUGUUUUCCCUUUAUUUAUCCAAAC
rnacentral:lncRNA from 1 species